rnacentral:rRNA from 1 species
AUUGAACGCUGGCGGCAGGCCUAACACAUGCAAGUCGAGCGGAUGAAGGGAGCUUGCUCCUGGAUUCAGCGGCGGACGGGUGAGUAAUGCCUAGGAAUCUGCCUGGUAGUGGGGGAUAACAUCCGGAAACGGGCGCUAAUACCGCAUACGUCCUGAGGGAGAAAGUGGGGGAUCUUCGGACCUCACGCUAUCAGAUGAGCCUAGGUCGGAUUAGCUAGUUGGUGGGGUAAAGGCCUACCAAGGCGACGAUCCGUAUCUGGUCUGAGAGGAUGAUCAGUCACACUGGAACUGAGACACGGUCCAGACUCCUACGGGAGGCAGCAGUGGGGAACAUUGGACAAUGGGCGAAAGCCUGAUCCAGCCAUGCCGCGUGUGUGAAGAAGGUCUUCGGAUUGUAAAGCACUUUAAGUUGGGAGGAAGGGCAGUAAGUUAAUACCUUGCUGUUUUGACGUUACCAACAGAAUAAGCACCGGCUAACUUCGUG